AUUGAACGCUGGCGGCAUGCCUUACACAUGCAAGUCGAACGGCAGCGGGGACUUCGGUCCGCCGGCGAGUGGCGAACGGGUGAGUAAUGUAUCGGAACGUACCAUUGAGUGGGGGAUAACGUAGCGAAAGUUACGCUAAUACCGCAUAUUCUCUCCGGAGGAAAGCAGGGGACCGCAAGGCCUUGCGCUCUUUGAGCGGCCGAUAUCAGAUAUAGCUAGUUGGUGAGGUAAAGGCUCACCAAGGCGACGAUCUGUAGCGGGUCUGAGAGGAUGGUCCGCCACACUGGGACUGAGUCAGGGUCCAGACUCCAACGAGAGGCAGCAGUGGGGAAUUUUGGACAAUGGGGGCAACCCUGAUCCAGCCAUGCCACGUGAGUGAAGAAGGCCUUCGGGUUGUAAAGCUCUUUCGGCCGGGAAAAAAUCGCAUGGGCUAAAAUCCUGUGUGGAUGAUGGUACCGGAAUAAGAAGCACCGGCUAACUACGUGCCAGCCGCCGCGGUAAAAC
rnacentral:rRNA from 1 species